UGACCCGGAGCUCGAGCGACAGAGCGGCGGCCUUUUAAGCCGUGAGGUGCGGGUUUAAGCCCCGCCGGGUCAACCA
rnacentral:tRNA from 1 species